CCUUUCCUUGCCAGUGAAAUAUUCACCUGUGAAAUUGAUGUUAUCCUUAAGACUCUAGUGGAAGAAGAAGAGUUUCAGAGAAGAAAUUGUUUUGCCCGAGAGUUCAAUCCUUUUUAUCAUCUUGGCGCAGCUCAUGAAGUUACUAUUUUCCUUCUUGAAACCAAGUUGUCCGCAUAGUGCGUUGCUUGCUGGGUAUUUUAGUAAGGUUGUGAUAUGCCUCAUGCUGCGGAAGACUGUUCCCCUCAUGAACUAUGUUCAGGCGCACCAUGAUGUUUACCGCCAGAUGGUGGAUUUGAUUGGUAUAACAUCCAUAAUGGAGGUUUUAGUCCGACUUGUAGGUGCUGAUGAUCAAAUGUACCCUAACACGACAGAUGUGAUGCAAUGGUUGGCUGACAGCAAUCUUUUAGAAAUGAUCGUAGAUAAAUUGAGCCCUUCUAGUCCUCCUGAAGUACAUGCUAAUACAGCAGAGAUGCUAUGUGCAAUAACCAGAAACACACCAUCGCCUCUGGCUACAAAACUAUCUAGCCCAAGCUUUGUAGCAAGGAUCUUUGGUCAUGCCUUUGAAGAUUCACACUCAAAGUCUG
rnacentral:misc_RNA from 1 species